CGCACUUAUUGCUGUUAAGGGGCCAAUCACAGCAUCACCUGACCAGAAGGAUGCCCAGCUUGAAGCAUAUGAACCCAGAACCUGAGCUGGUCAGGCAGUCUAUCCCUGGGAGACAUGGAAAGAGGAGCUCUUGGGCAGCAGGGCUGCUGGUUAACAUUUGAGCUGGGGAAAAAGAGGAGAAAGCCUGGACUGCAAGAAUGCACCUUGAACUCCAGAGAUGGAGACUCUCUUAUGAGUGUCUGAGGUGGUAAACUGAUUUUUAUACAAAAUAUUGGCUCACUCCUGCUUUGGCAAAACAUCUGACACUGUUAUAAAAGAAGCAGGAAGUACAAAAAUCAACCACUAUUUUUACCAUUAAAAGACAAGGAGCCCCAUGGGACAAUUGCAGACAGAGUCUUAUCUAAUUUACUGUAGGGGCCAAGUCUGAGACGAAAAAAGUGAAUUCAAGUUAAAUUUGGACCCUUCUCCAGAAUUGAGGCAUCAAGGCUACACAUGGUGAGCUUAAGUUGACUGUAGAGUGACGUAUCCACCACACCAGCACUCCAGGUCCACUAAGCACUAAGACUGACAAGAUGCUAACAGUUAUGUAGAUUUCCAUAAAGCUUUUUUUGCAGGCUGCAUACUCUCUUUCAAUACUUCUGUUUCCACAUUCAGCAUGUGAGAACCAAUUGCUUUCCUUUAGAACUAUAUUUAACAGUUCACAUUUACAAUCUAUUAUUACAUUUUUCAGUGUUUUGUUCAGGAGCGAUUGUGGGAGUUUUGUAAGAUUGUUACCUUCAAGGUAAAGACUUGUAAGAUUCCUGGCAUCAUGUAGGAAAUUAUCUGGUAAUACUUGUAACUUGUUGUUGGAGAGGUUUAAUACUUGAAGGUUAGGUGUUUGAGCAUCUCUGUAGUUUAUUUUCUCAAUGUUACAUCCGUUAAGAUACAGAUUCGUUACACUGGAACCAAAGAUCUUCCAUCCAAUUGUGCUUGCACAUCCAGUACAUAUGAUGCAUGGCUCUUUCAGUUCUUUUGUAUUACAUUUCUCCAUUAGGCAGUUGGAAGCAGAAAAGAGUGGAUAAUGUACCAGGAAACAUAAAAGCAGCAAAAUUGAAUGAUCUGCCAUCUUGAGCCUAUGGGAAAUGGCAGAGUUAUACAAGAUCCAUUGCAAAUACCUUCCCAAAUAUGUUCUCUUAUUUGAAUGUUCUUCCCCUCCGCUGCCAUGGAGAGCCCUAGCUGUGACAGGGCUGUGUCUUAGGGAGCUGUAGUUUUGGGGACAGGAUUUGCUGAAGAAAGAGCAGGACUGCGGGUGCUCUGCUUACUGACCUUUCCACCCUACUCAGGAGGAGCUCCUCAAUCUUUUGGACUAUUGCACUAUGCAGGUUUCAGUAGAAGCAGGGAGUAAAACUGCUAGUGCCCUGUUUGCCAAGCAAAUGGCAUUUACUACUGUCCCUGUUUGGGUCUCUCUAUACAUUUGUGUUGUGUUCUAUAGAUGGGGUUUGAUCAAGCAGCUGGCUUUAUAUAUUAAUGCGUUUGACUCAGAGGUUUUAAAAUAUUUUAAUUAUACAAAGUGCAACUCUAACUGGGCUUACCUACUUUUGAAGUGUUUAGCAGACCUGUUGGACUCUCAGGCUUUCCAGGAACUCUCCCAGUACAAAUCAGAACAACCAAAUGGUGAUGUAUACUCUGGCUGCAAUGGCCAGUUUUCAGCCAAGCGUGAGAAAAGGACAACAUACUGCCAUCAACCUUCCUUCUACUCCUAGUAAGCCUUCUUCAUCCCCCUUAAUAACAGUGCUUGCUGAAAAGUGCCCUUUCAUGAAGGGAGUCUUACAGUGGGCAUUUCCAUUUGAUUUUAGCCCCUUUAUAUCAUCUAAGUAUCAUAAAAGACUAAAGGGCAACCAGAAAUCAGAUAUAUUUUCCUCUAGACUAAAAAGGCAUUACUUUAAUAACCAUGAACAUGCAAAGGCUGUAUAUAGGUCUCAGAGGGGAGACCUUCUGAUUGUUAAGUCAAUGCUUGUUCCUUAUCAUUUAUCUUGGUUCACACCAAGAUGUGCAUGUAUGCAGACUUCAUGCAUUUCAUAUUGUAAUUGUUGCAUACUGCUCCUUUACUGUUUGCCUCGGUAGAUCUCUGUGUUAUCUGACAUUCUCAAAAUAAUUCAUGAAGCUCACUAUUUCAGAUGGAAGUUCCUGAUGCAGCUUAUAGAAUUCUAAUAGCUUUUUAACACUUAAAAAGGAAAUACAAUUAAAAUAUAAAUUGAUUAUACAAUAAAUCACUAGAUGUUUAAAGAACUGUCCAUAUCUAUUUUAGGAAGGUGGUCUUACCUUAGGUCUAGAUCAAAAGGUUUGCUCUCUGAUAGUCAGUCAGCUAAAUGUGUAAUUGCAGGCUAUCCACGUUUGCAUAGUUCAGAACUCUACGGACAGGAACAAAUUGCUUGUAGUUGCUACUCUCUGUGGCUUUUUAAGGUGGUUAUGCAUUCUAUGAAUAUCAAGCAAAGAAUCUACAUAGUUAGACCACAUAUUCUAGCACUAGUGCUCUUGAGUGCAAGAACUAUAAAAGCAUCUAUACUUCUAAAAUUCUUUCUCACUCAGGAAACACUCCUUUGAAAAUUGGAAUACAACUUAUUCUACUGAUUUUAUUUAAAAUACCUUCUGCUAAUCACUAUUUUAAAUAAAAUAUAUAAUUACUUAAGUUCCAGUAGUUCAAGGAUAAAAAUUUCCAGUAAAAAAAUAUACAUAAGACCUGAAUAUACACAGGGAAUAGAAAUCAAGGAAAAUCUGUCAAAAUACAGAAGUUUGCUAUGCUUCCUCACCCACUGAUGCCUACUUGGUGACCUCAAGUCUCUCUCACUUGUGCAUCCAUGCUUAUCUUUAGAUAAGAGAUCAGUUCUUCCCAGAUCACAUGUAAAAUCUUCAGCCUUAAUGUUUCACACGAAGCAAUUUCUGCCAUCUCAAUCUGCUGGGCUAGUCUUUUUAAGUGGACAUGUUGUCACUACUACUGUUGUUAUUUAAUGGAAAAACUCUAAGGGAAAUGGCUACUUUAUUAAAAAGAAAACUUUUUUCUUCACUUUGAUGAUUUAUCUAAUGUUUGCAUAUCCUUUUCACAGCCAUUUAUUUUUAAAAUAAGAAGAGAAAAUUCAGCUAUGUAGCUUCUAUUCAAACAGAAUUCCCCUUGACUAUACUGGGAACUUUACAAGAUGACAGAGUUGUAACAAAAUGAUGCAAAAAUGUAUGCCAGUAUAGCCAUAAGGAAUACAAAAACUAAUUUAAAAAAUGGCACAAGGGCAGACCGUGACAAUAGUAACAGUCCCUGGUAAAGUUCUAAACAGGUAUGAUCACCAAUUAUUGUGUUCACAAGAGAUGCAAUUUGUCCUUAAUGUGGUAAAUUGUUUAAAAUCUUCCUUUAAAGGAAAAUGGAUCUGUUUUAAGUUUUGUGACUGUAUGCUAUAUGACGGGGUCAGCAACACAGCCUGCAGCUGCAGAGCUCCUAGAUCUGGCCCAAAGAGUCAAAAGUCUUUGCCUUUGCCUGCACCCAUGCUGGACUUGGGCACUGAGGAGCUGGGCCGAGGCAAGGCAGCUAGAACUGCUUCUCCCAACCCCCUGCUUCUCGGCUGCAGCAUGGGUGCAGCUCCCAGCUAGUGAGGAACUGCACUGGGGCUGGGCAGAGUCCCACUGCACUUGUGCUGCAGCCAGGAGUGGGGCAGGACAUGUGGAGCAGCAGCAUCACUGCAGGCACACCUUCCAACUGCCUGGCCUUGGGGGCUAGAAGCUGUGCCCAUGCUGCAGCCAGGGAGCAGGGGGCUAGGGAGAAGCAGUGCCAGCAGCAUGGGCUCAGUUCCCAGCUGCCUAGCCUCAGCUCACCUCCUUUCCAGUUGGAAGCCGUGCUUAUAUCCCAGCUGGGGACUCAGGGGCUGGGAAAAGCAGCAGUGGUAUCAGCAUAGUUGCCUGGCCUCAGCAUGGGUGUCGGCAAACACCCCUUGCUGCUGAUGUACUACUGAAGCUACCCAACCCACGCCAGACAGGAGCAGGAUUGUUCUGACCCACAGCUUGGAAAGGUUGCUGGUCCCUGUCUACGUGAAGGACUUUGUUGUUCUGUAGUUGCAUAAAAUAGUGACAUCAUCUACUGGAACUAUUAUUAUUGAGUGGAUCUCAAUAUUAAUGAGCUUUUUCACAAGUAUGUUGAAGUGGUUUUUUGCAGAUAUUCAAUUUAUACAUAAACUGUAAUUUGUUUUUCCCUCAGCCAUAGCAAACUAUGUGAACUAUUCCCAACAGCCAGGCUCAAAAGAACCAGCCAUUAUUCACUUCUUCUGCAUAAAUAUUAUGUCACAAAGCUCAUGCCAGUAGCACAAGUGAUUUACCUACUGUAAAAGUUAUCCACUUUUUUAUUUCCGUGCCCUCGAUCUGCCUCUUUUCUUCCUCUGCUUGUCCUCAAUACGCAUUCAACUUUUAAGGUAAUUAUCUGUGCAAACAUUGUAUCAUCUCCUUCAAACCUUGCACAGUUCUCUGGUGGUGACAAAAGCUCUUUUUCAGAUAUAUUUAGACAUCAGGUUGUAUAUUGAUGCUGCCAGAUGAAUAUUCCAAAAUGGAUCUGAAGUAAUGCAGCACUAGUCUGAGUUUGUUCAUGCUUCAGUGGGACAAGUUAAGGGCUAUAGUCAAAUAUGAGCUAACAUGAUACAGUAGCUACAGACUGAGGAGCAAUCUGACACUUAGGUCAGAUUGGGGAGCACCCAGGGUCUAUGUAAGCCUGGGUAAGCUAUGAAUAUAGACCUUUUUUAAACCCCUUUCCUUUUUUGCUGCACUGUUUUCCUACAAUUUAAAUUAAAUGAUGUUUUGUUUUAAAGAGAUGCAGCUCUGGUCAGGGCUCCCAAAGGGACUGUGGCACCAGAUGAACAAUUGUUUGGUAUGUAUGGCACUAUCAUCCCAAAACUGGUCCUCAGAGUGGAAGAACUGUGGAAUUCUGUCCAAGAAAGGCAAAGGCUCAAAGCCUUUAUGAUGUGCAGACAAGAGGCAGAAGAAGAGGGGAGAAAGUUUAUAACUAGCCUUGAACUGUGAUAGGGGGCAAUGCAUACAUAUGAAAUCCACUGUUGCGCUGGUGUUUAAAAAAAAAAUCAUCUCAAAUGUGACCAACUCUGUUCACAAGAUUGAUCCCCCUGCACUAUUUGAAUACAAGCUCAUCUUCUAAAGCUCCUGAGGUUUACAGCUAAAUUCUGUUUCAGCCCAUUAUAAAGAGAAAGCCCAUCAUGAACAAUGGAUCCAGAUAAAGGUGAAGAUUUAAGCUGGCUGUUAGAUCUUGAUGGCUGGUUUUGGACCUAUCUCUGGUUAAAGUAGUAGCAUUUUUUUUAGAUAUCUUUGAAAAAAGAUCUCCAUAGGCUGCCAUCAGCCGUGUGCAGAUACUGGGCUUCCCCUCCAAACAGUUCUCUUGUUUCCUGGUUCCAACAUGGUUGCUUGAAAUAGUUUGAUCAGGGACAAAAUGUAAUUGUGGAUAAAAUGCUUCUUACGCUAUUCAUCCUUCUUAGAACUGCUCUCUUUCAUCAUUCUCUUGUGCAGUAAUACAUACAGAAAUUACUCAUUUUUUAUUUUUAACCUGCCCCUCCCAGAAAUUAGUGUUCAUCUUAACAAGCCACGUUUGUUGAGAUCAGAUCCUUUCAAAUAGGUAUCUUUGUAAUUUGCUAUUCAGAAAGUCUCUCUCUACCCCUCACAGGUACUGUGUGUGCUGUUGAUGAAACGUUCCCUAAGGCACAGAAAGAUGCACACAUAUAAACUACUGCAUAAUUGAUGCUUGCUAUACAGGCUGGUGCUUGUGUCUGUUUCAGUUCUUGAGCUUUUCUGAGUGCUCUCUGAAACCAAUGCAUCUUUCUUAAAUCCCUUGCACUUCAGUAAUUUCCCUUGCAUUUGAUGCCAAUCUCUCAGCCAGACUGUUCAGUAUGCUGCUUCCUCAUUCUCAUAUAGCUGUGAGGAGAAUGAACAGACAUAAUGGGAUUGCAGCAGUCAGGGCUGCCCCCAUCCAUAAGCCUAUCUAUUUCACCCCAUCUGAUUCUUAAAAUAUUUGUUUUGGUAGUGUUAAAGUGAUGUUGUAGCUGUGAUAGUCCAGCAAUUAUACAAGAGACAAGGAUUUUUGGGGGUGAUAUCUUUUAUUGGACCAACUGCAUGGUUGGUAUAAAGUUAAACAAGCUUUUGAAUGCAAGUCUUGAAAGGGGUGAUGAUAGGGCUGGGACUGCCAACCAGCUGAUUGUUGGUCCCAGCCCCUGCACUGCACUGGGGUCCUGAUCUGAUCCUGGAGUCUCUCUCUGCCAGCAGUGGACCCCCAAUUCACCCUACGGAUCCAGUGGCAGAAGCAGCCACCUUCUCCAGAGCUUGGGUCCCUGUGCCUCCUUCUAGCCACUGCCACUAGUGGAGACUCAACUUGCUGCAGUGUGCCAAGGUUGGGCACUCUUGGGUUGGGUGUACUCAACAUACAGUAGGAAGUGCAUGGGCUCUGGGUGUGGGGGCUGCACGUCCUCAUAGGUGGACAUGUGAGCUGUGGUGCCCAGUGCUAUGGUCAGUGGGGGUAAGGCACGCGGGACGGAUGGGAGGGCACAGCCAGCUCCAGGCCUGUCCAGAGCAGGCUGAGAUAAUAGUAAGCAUUACUGUGCAACUGCUCAUAACACAUUCUAACUUUUAAUACAACAUAGUAAUGCUUAUUGCACCUCAGGUAAAACAUGUGCCCAAAUUUAACACUGCUGAACAUUGCCUUCUGUGGUGCUGUCAUCUGUACCAGGAUGGUGCAUGUUGGAAAGGAGAGCCAGGGAAAGGAGAUAGAAGAGGGAGACAAUCAUCAGGAAAGCAUUGUAAUAGAGUAGAUUAAAAAUAGAAAGAAAAGAAGCUCUAGUUUUCCAGAGAGCUUUCUAUUUUCCAGAAACUGUGUCUCCUACUAGUCACAGCCAGGAAGCACUGGCUCCUGCAAAGCUGAUUAAAAUAGCCAGAGAAAAUGUCUCAGAGAAGUCUCAAUCCCCUGAUUUAAGAUAACGACAAAACAGAAAAUGGAAAGAUAAAGGGAAGGGGCAAAGUGUUUUCAGGCUGUAUCUCUUGUGCUGGGAGGGAUGAUGACUUCCCUUUGAGCCAAAUGUAAGGCUGAAAAAACUGUCAGCAAAUCUUUCUACUUUCAUUAGCGUUUCUUCUCCCUCUCUUUUCAUGCUUACAUCUUCCUGGCUGUGACUGGUAGGAUGAAAUUUUGUAUGAUGUGUAAGAAGUAAAAAAUGAAAGGGUGAAGCAAGGAACAUACUCUUGAGGUAAGUUUUAUUUGUAAGGAUAACUGUAUUGUCUGUUGACUAGGGAGAAAUACCUGAUAACAGCUAAGAUGCAGAACCUGCUGUGGUCUGUAAAAAGGCUCAUGUGGGUGUUUUUUUCAUGAUUGUCAUCUUGUUUGGAGUUUUAUUUCAUUAUCAUUCUUCCUGUUAUAUUAUGUUUGUGUAUAAAACAGCAAUAGUUAAAGUAUUUGAUUCAACUCUGAGUUCUUUAGUCCAUGGCCCUUGGACUAAGUGGGUUUAAUAAAAUAGUCUAAAUUGAACUAAAUAUGUCUUUUAGUUAUUUCAUUUGAGAUGGUCAUGUACAUCUGAGCCUCAAGUGUAUGUUUAAAGCAAUGCAAACCCAAAUAGGAAAUAACAUUGACCAAGCUCCUUUUUCUGUUUUUAGCCAAACACAAGCAAGUAUAAACAGGUCCUGCUGUAACUCUUUCAUUGUUUUCAUUUAACCAAAGACAAGUGCAAGAACUUCUCACCUUUUAAAAGUUCUAAUAUCUAUAUCCUGUUCCUGCCUUUACUAAGUUGUACUCUUUUUUUGCUAAGCAGUCAAUAUAGGGGUUGGUCACAUCUUUGACCUGUCUAGUUACUAUGGUUCAUUCUUCUAAAAGCAACUUUUCCUUUGGGAAGGAGGCACUGUAGCUUUCUGAAUCUCUUUGUAGUGCCAUGCUCACAGUUGUAAGCCCAUCACUCCCAUUCAUCUGAACAGCUACUAACUGAAAAAAGUAUCUGAAAAAACAUCUCUGCUUGUAUGUGUAUUAAUGUUCUGAUUACAUUUGAGAAAAAGCAUUUUUCUUGUCAGGGUGUGUUACUAUAAAGACUGAUGUGACUUUGCCACUUUAUGAAAGGUUGGAAUGUUGCAAUGAAUGUUUUU